rnacentral:rRNA from 1 species
UACGGAGGGGGCUAGCGUUGUUCGGAAUUACUGGGCGUAAAGCGCGCGUAGGCGGCUUUGUAAGUUAGAGGUGAAAGCCCGGAGCUUAACUCCGGAACUGCCUUUAAGACUGCAUCGCUAGAAUCGUGGAGAGGUGAGUGGAAUUCCGAGUGUAGAGGUGAAAUUCGUAGAUAUUCGGAGGAACACCAGUGGCGAAGGCGGCUCACUGGCUCGGUACUGACGCUGAGGUGCGAAAGCGUGGGGAGCAAACAGG